rnacentral:tRNA from 1 species
GAGAGGGUAACUCAGUGGUAGAGCGUAUGCUUAGCAUGCACGAGGUCCUGGGUACAAUCCCCAGUACUUCCA